ACCUGCCCACGGAGAGGUCGGUGCUCCUGGAGGUACCUGGAGGCUGUUUCCUACACCUUCCUCUUCUGUUGAUUUGCUUGAUUUUCCUAAGAAUUUUGCUUUGGAGUAUAGACAUUUAGGUGUUGCCCUUGGCUUCUGGCCUCACCCAUCCCUUCUGCCUUAUUCCAUACCACCCUUGCCUUCAUGCCCUUAACUCCAGACACACUGUCCUCCUAGGACAUGCUCUGCCUUCAAGGCUUCCUUCUAUUUCUCAGCUCCCUGCCUUCCCUCUUGCCUUGCUAACUGUCUACUCAUCUAUUGGAUCUUACUUUAAUUGGUAAUUUUCAGAAAAGCCUUUCCUCACUGCCCGUUUUAGGUAUGUGCUGUCAUGGCCAUCUGUGCUUGUCCCUUUUGACAAUUAUUCCCAUUGUCAUGAAAUAAAUGUUUGUGUGAUGAUUUGGUUAAUAUUUGUCUUCCUUACAAGACUAUAGCUUCAGCAGGUGAUAGACUUUGUUGGUGGGUUUUCAUUGCUUAGCACAAUGUUUGGCACAUAAAGGGCAUUCAGUAAAUAUGUCAGAUGAGGUCAUGAACAGUCUAUUGUCUUACAAUGCUAACCUUAACAUUUCUUCUGUUUAGUUGUAAUACUCAUUCUUGGCUGCCAAGUUUCCAGUGACCUGUUUUCUAUUUCAUCUCCCUGAGUUCAAACCUUUGAUCAUAAAAUGUUUAGGACAAACCCAUAACUUCUUCCUACUCUUCAGGGUACAGUUCACCCAAAUGUGUUGGAAUUUAGAAAUCUUUUUAUUUUUUGCUUUUGCCCCACUGGUCCUUGGUUUGGUGAGUCAGCUAUCUCAUCAAGAUCAGCUCAUCCAGCAGGCAGCAGUGCCUAUAUUCGGAGUACAGAGGCCCUGGGGAUGAUGGCAGACUUUCUGUCCUUAAGUGAUGGAGAGGACAGAAGAUUUGUCACCCUUAGCCAGUUCUCCACAUCCCAUGGUGACAUGUCAUAUGGCAGUGUUUGCAUUUGCAGCAUUCACUGGUUUAACAAAGUGGAGAAACUGGAACUCACACAGAUGUUUAAAAUCACAAGGUUUCUUGGUUUCUGGAGCAAAAUAGUUUAGUGUUUUAGUUCUUUUUUGAGAUUCUGUUGCCCAGGCUGGAGUGCAGUGGCAUGAUCUCCACUUACUGCAACCUUCACCUCCCAGGCUCAAGCGAUUCUCCUGCCUCAGCCUCCCGAGUAGCUGGGAUUACAGGCACCAACACUUGUGUGUAUGCUUUGAACAUACAGAUACCUAGAGCAUCCUAGAGAUGUUUCUGACAGUGCAACAAACUUUCUUUUUAAUCUUCAUCGAAUAUAAAAUAGCUGUUUUUCUAUUAAAACAGCUGAGUUUUAAUAGCUCAGAGUUUCUGACAGUGCAACAAACUCUCUUUUAAAUAUCUUCAUCGAAUACAAAAUAAUAGCUGUUUUUCUAGGUUCUGCAGUUAAAAAAAAUACUAAUGAACAAGUUAAAAUU
rnacentral:lncRNA from 1 species